UCAGGUGAUGUUCCCCUGACAGGUGGUUCCCUACCACCAGGUACUGUGGGUAACCUGUGGAGACGGCAGGCAUUUCAGCAUAUCAGGAGGGCUGGGGCGGGGGUGGAGAGCCGGGCAUGACAGACAGGCACAGCGGGGGAUGGCGGGGACACCCGAGCCGGGGCUGGUCCUAGGGGCUGGCAGAGCAGGAGGUGACUGCACAGGGCCCUGACCUCAGUAUAAGGAGCACAAAAGAGAGUUUCCCCAGGGGGCUGGGGCAGCAUAUGUGUGUGUGUGUGUGUGUGUGUGUACAAGGGUACUGUAGGUUUUAAGUUUAGGAAUGUUGGGGAAGCUAUUAUUGAGUGGGAAGGAGACAGCAGAGAUAGGGGUGCUAAAUGUGGACAGACACAGCGGGCUGUCACGCUGGAAAGCAGGGGGCUCGGCACUGUGGUUUGCAAAGCAGACAUGCAUCCUAAUAAGGAGACACACAGAGAGACAGAGACCCAGGCUGAGAUAUACAAACCGAGAAGACAGAGUCAGAAGGAGAGAGAAGAAGGAAAAAAAAACUUGGAAAGGAUCAGGAGUCAUUUUGGGGAAAACUUUAGUUUCAGGAUGGACAGGAAGUAGAAACCGAGGCCCACCCACCAGUUCCCAGGAACCUCUGGUCACUUGGAACUCUGUUCAGGCCUGGCUGGAGAUGCUACAAGGCUGUCAGCUGUACCCCCAAGAGCCCGGCCACCCCCCUGCCUGCCCUGCCUGCCCUCUGCUGGGCUUUGGGAAGGAGCCCGGGCAGCGAGCCGUGAUGCUACCCCAAAGACUGGCAGUAUCUUCGCAAAGCACAGGCCCAGAAGCACAGAUUCUGAGGAAGUUCUAGCUCCUUCCACAGCAUCAAUACUCUCUUGCUACUUCCAGGGGAGGCAAAGUUAUUGGAAGUCUGGGUUCUACAGACAAAUUGCCUGGGUUCCAACGUCAGCUCUAUCACUGCCUAGCUCUGUUGUCUUGGCACUUAGAAGGACCCAAUGCUGGAUCCCAGAAAGCCAUUCAUGGAAGUAGAUGCCAGAGGGUCAGUUAUCCAUGCAGCGAUGACCCUUCUAUGAACCAUCCAUGGUGACCUGGGGCUUCCUCUUCACCGACCCAACAAGCCCCCAGUCCCUGAUGGAAGCUGAAAACCACGGACCGGGAACCCAGAGAGCUUCCUUAACCAGCAGCAGUGCUGGGCUAGCUCAGAGCCUCGUGGAGCGUGAAGGACUCGGUUUGGGAAGAUCGUAUUAUUCCCCCAGUUCCUCUGCGAACGAAGCCAUCGUAUUCAGGGAUGGCGCACAGCAGUGUCACCGGCUGCCCCGAUACCACAGCCUGGUCCUGGGGCUGCUGGCUGAAGGAGUACACUUGACCUAGGAAGGAAACGAAUGCAACGGUCAGUUACUUGCUGGAAGGGCUUCCCCUCGAGCUAUGGAAGCAGAGCCCAGGCUGCCCUGGGGGACAAGGACCCCCAGAGCACCUCCCUACCUGCCUGGGGCCCAGCUGCGGCUUCUUCACUGCCCCCAGCUCCAUCGCCUGCUUGCAGGAGCUGGCCCCGGCUGCAGGCUCCCUGCCCAUCAACCCCAGCGCACUCACGCUGUGGUCCAGCCAUCCUGCAGCCCCCAAAACGGGCCAUGUGCUACUGCACUUGGCACGUGUUAUUCCUCUUUCCCCUUAACGCCACUUCCUGGUGCCUACUUCCACAAGGGGGCAGAGGCAGGAGAGAGACCCCCAGUUGGAAGCACUCUGGGGGGGCGGGGUGUGCUUCAAGAGGGCAACAGGCAUAGGGCGUGGUGUGCUUUGGUUAAACCUGAGAAUCCAAGAAAUAUCAAUAAUAUCAUAGUUUUAGUGGCUCCCAGGAUGGGCCUAGGGCCAAAUUUGGCGGGAUGAGGGGUGGUAUAGUGUGAGGGGUGGUGGGGUUGAGUGAGCAGGUAAUCGUCUCCUGUCUCUUUCUUUUCUGCAGCAGACCCUGUGCCAGCCUCUCUGUCAUUGGGAGCAAAUCAUCAGUGUGAACCCACACCUGCCCAUACACACCUCCCUGAACCAUCUAAGGUCCCUAUGUCUCAUCCUGGAGGGAUUGCUGAAGAAGGGGUGUGAUGUGACCCACGUUCCCUGGGAGGCCACAGCUGAAUGGACAACAGGACAUGGGACACUGACAUCCACUGAGCUCCCGGCCCACAGUACCAUCUGUGCUUCCCAUGCUGUCCCUCCUGUACCCAUGUCAUUACACUUCAGAGCAGGACUAGUCCCAUUUUAUAGUAAAGACACCCAGACCAGAGAGGGAAAGUAACCUGCCCAAGGUCACACAGCUAAUGAGUGGGGUUUGACCUGGGGCUCAUGACGUCUAAGCCUGUAUUCUUUCCUACCCCCUGCUCUGCAGAUGCAGAUACACGGCCGAGGAAAACAGGACCUGGUGGGCAGGCUGCCCCUCCCCCUGGAGAGAGUCAGAGGUGGCCACAGAGGUCCUGGACACUGGCUGCUGUCCAACUUGGGGACACAGAGCCCCAGGCUCGGUUAGGGCCAAGCUCUCAGCAGCAGACGGCCCUAAGAAGGGAGCCACUGGCGUGUGCCUCCAAGGGGCACUGGGGAUGGCAGUGGAGGAGAGACAGAGGUCCACACUGGAGAGUUUGUGGCAGGCGGGAAGGUAGCUGAGUUUUCAGCCUGAUGAGAUCUUGGCCGGGUCUCUGAGGGAUCUCAUUAAAAAUCAAAUCGGCCCUGAAUUGGGAGAGUAACACUUCUUAUUCUGGUUUGAGCUUUAUAAAUUAGAUUUCAUAGGACAUUAUCAUCAGCUAUGUGUGGUGGGGUGGGAUUUCUUUUUUUCCUUCCUUUCUGUCUCUUCAAGUUCCCUGUUGUAAUUAGACUGUUUCUGGCACCAAAACAAGAGAGAGAAGGAGGGAAGAGAUGAGAGGAGAAAGGGAGGGAGAGACCAGAGAAGGAGCGAGAGAGGGAGGGGAGUGAGGAGAGCAGGAGAGCAGGAGUGGAGAGGAAGAGAGAGAUGGAGAGAAGGCAGAGGGAGAACAGGAGGAGGAAGAGGGGCGGGAGACGCUGGGAUGCAGAGAGGAUGAGUGAGCGGGAGACCGGUCCUCUCCCAGCCUCUUUCUCCAGGCUCUAAUGAUGAUUUCACAGCGCAUUCUUCUGUCUCAGCAUCUUCCUUGCAAGGACAGUGUCAAGACAGCAGCAGUAGCUGCGGAAGAUUGUGUGAUCGGAGAGAAGCAUCGGGUUGUCAGCUGAGAGCCAGGGCUGGGAUAAGCUGGCUCUCAGCAGUGGAGCCUGAGCCCCCAGAAUGCCCCUGAAUAGGGAGGCCUGCGGUGGGAACUGGGCUGGUCUCCCCGCCACCCCACCCCAGUCCCGCUUCCUCUUGGUGUCGGUGAGGGUGCCCGGAGAGCUGGAGUGCAGGAAGCAUCCCCAGACCAAGGUGCGGGCUGGGGCGAGGGUGAGGAGCCCAAGGGUGACGGGUGUGGCAGUGUCCCAGGGAGAAGAGGGGCUGUCACCAUGGAAACCGGGCUCUGGAGGGGCUGGGAGGAGAGGUUGUCAGAAGCAGGCGUGCAGGUGGACACUAAGUGGUCACUAUUUCACCCUGGAGGCUGCCUCAGAGCCAGGAGUUGGGGUG